rnacentral:rRNA from 1 species
AUGAACGCUGGCGGCGUGCCUAAUACAUGCAAGUCGAGCGAACGGACGAGAAGCUUGCUUCUCUGAUGUUAGCGGCGGACGGGUGAGUAACACGUGGAUAACCUACCUAUAAGACUGGGAUAACUUCGGGAAACCGGAGCUAAUACCGGAUAAUAUUUUGAACCGCAUGGUUCAAAAGUGAAAGACGGUCUUGCUGUCACUUAUAGAUGGAUCCGCGCUGCAUUAGCUAGUUGGUAAGGUAACGGCUUACCAAGGCAACGAUGCAUAGCCGACCUGAGAGGGGGUCCGCCCACGCAGAAACUGAGCCGCGACCCAGGCCCCUAGGGGAGGCAGAGAUGGGGAAUCUUCCGAAAUGGGGGAAAGCCUGACGGAGCAACGCCGGGUGGGGGAUGAAGGUCUUCGGAUGGUAAAACUCUGUUAUUAGGGAAAAACAAAUGUGUAAGUAACGGUGCACAUCUGGGCGGUACCUAAAAAGAAAGCCCCGGCUAACUACGG